rnacentral:lncRNA from 1 species
GCUCGGGCGCUUUUCCUCCAGGAAGCCAAGCCGCUGCGGUGCGCUUUGGCUACCUGGGAGGGAAAGGGGAAGGAAAUUCUCUCUACCCCCCGGCUUUCUCUUCCCUUCCCCCCAUUUGGGAAACGAGUAGAGGUAUUGAAAUUUAAAGGAGAUUUUCAAAGGCCGCUGUCGAAGGAUGCUAAUAGGAGUUGCAAGACAGACGCAUUAGGAAGAGGGAAUUUCCCACGGAAAGCUUUGUAAUGAGCUAACGAGACGCGUUCCCCCACCUCACCUUUGGAGGGGAGGGGAAAACAGAGCUUGAAUUACGCAUUUAAUUUCCCCUGCGCUCGUUCCCAAAUGGGAAAAGCUGAUGGGUCUCGAUAGGAUCGGGAUUUCUGGUUUCAAGGUUUAACGUUGUGCGCGCUCCCCUGCUUGCAGACCCCGCAGCUACUCCCACCGCACAUCCUCUCGCCGGUCUUCGCGUCUGCGUCUCCCUCCCGCUGUUGGCGCGUUGCUUCGGUUUAUCCAGGUCUCCAACUCGCCCAAUACCUGGAUCAACACAACGAAAGCACAGAAAGUGGACAAACAGAAGGAGAACAACUAUGAAGGCUCAUGAAAACUCAUGAUUUAAAGAUCACAUUUCUCCACCUGGACUGAUUUAAGAAUUGAGGUUAGUUGACUACUAUUAGCAAGACUUGCAAUUAUGGCAUGCAGGCACAUCCUCUUCUGUUCACUUGAGUUAUUUCUGUAUAGCAGUAGAUCAUGAGGACAUGGACAAAGGCAUUGCACCUACUUUCUCCUUGAGCAAUUUCCAUUGAUGUCUGUGAUGCUGAUACUGAAUUACAGAAUCCCGAGGAUUCUGUAUUGUUGUAGUUCUAAACCUUUUGCUGUGGAGGUUAGCCUGUGGAUAGGAAGAGUCAAACAAGAACAACUUAUACAGUUUCUCUGGCUAGAAAAUGAACAAUACAUGCUUCCUGUCCUUAUGAUGUUCCCACAUGUGGAUGGUGAAGCAGGCACCAAGAUGACUAAGCUAGAACAACAAGAUUUGGUGAAUCCAGAGCUGACGAAUAACAGUUCAUCUGGCAUGGAAGCAAAGGAAGAAGUUCCAGGGAAGGCAAAGGCCCAAAUUUGUGAAUCUGUGUGCCAUGUGCUGGGGAAAAUUGAAACCUUCCAAUGAACUAGAAUGAAUGUUGUGUGUAUGGGAAGCCUAUGGACUCAAUGAGAAGAAUAAUUAGUGAAUGUGUCCAUGUUGUCUAUAUUUUACAUGGGUCAGAAGGAAGGAUUGAGUGCAGAAGACAAAAUGUUAAUCGGAAGUGGGGUCAUUUUCAUAUUUAGGCUUAAACAAGAAUAUAGACAUUACUAUUAAAGCAUAGAAAUAAAAAAAUGAUGAUAUUUUUAAGUGUCAUAACUUCUAACUAUUUGCCAUCAUAUUUUUGGUUUACUCCCUUUCAAAUACACUUAAGCGUAAGUGUAGCCUAGAAGAGAGCAAGACCCAAUAUUUGGCUAGUUCAGGGAGUGACUUACAAGCAAAGCAGUUCCACCCAUGACCAAUUUCUUAAAUUUCUGGAGCAACCCAAGUAGCAAGACUGGGAAAAUAUGACUGAAUUUGCAAAAAAUCAAGUCACUUCUUUGGAAAGAUGUUAAACUCCAAAGAUCAAUGUAUAGACCUUUCCACUUAGCUUACAACUAGAUAAAACAUUCUUUUGACAUGAAAUGGCUUAGGACAAAUGCUUUAACAAAAGAACUGAUUAAACACUGCUGUUACUAAAGCCUCACAAUAGUUAAUGCACUUAAAGAGUUCUAAAUCGGCUGAGCAUUGACGUCUUAAAGGAUUAUAUUGAGUGUCACCAUAUACACAGGAAAGUCUCCUUCAAAACCUACUAUGGAGUAUAAUGGACUAUACAUGUUAUUGUAAACAAAUUGGCAAGAUUCGAGGUUUUCUCUGGAUUCUAGCAUCUUUAAAAAGAGAAUGUCUGUUGUUUUAUAAAAGCAUUUAUUUACAUCUUUAUCAGGUAUCCUCCAGUCCCAAAUGUGAGAGGUUAGGGCAAUCUGUGGAUUGGGGUGGCUUUCUCUUCUAAGUCACUCCCAGACUAGGGAAGUGACUCAGAAGAGUCACUGAGUGGGGAAACACAGAACCAGGGAUGGCUCUGUAGCUCUGACCUAACUUAAAGCUCCAGAUUGGUCUGACCUUUUCUCACUUUGCGAUUCAGACCUGAAAAAAAUGAGGCCAAAGUUGGCUCAUCUUCCUCCCUUGAAAAUGUUCUAAGGAGAUGAACCACAUCCUGUCCUAUCUCCCCCAAACCAUACCUCAGCACAGGGGCUUGUUUCAUUGGUACAAGAAUAAGUUGUCUUUCUUUUGCUAGAAAGCUCACAACUUUAAAACCUACAAAAAAUGAAUGAAUUAUAAUCUAGAACUUCAGAUAUCUGUAUCAUAAUAGUUGGAUAUGCUUAUGGAGUAUGAUAUGAUCUUUUGCAGCAAAAUCUCACUUUGUACUCAACAAAUACAUACAAUUAUUAUUUGAAAGUUCAAUUAAUUAGUUUAAAAAUCUGUAGAAAUAUCAGUGUCUUCUGGGGAGGAAAUUAUUACGUGCAUGUCAAGAUUUGCCAAAAUUUUAAUACUUUGUUACCCUAUGUCACUUUUGUGAAGUGAUUAUAGGGAUAUUUUUCUAAAUAUAGAGUUUAUCAUAAGGAAGUUUUGUUAACAAUAGAAUCUUAAAAGUGCACUAGGAUAUUCAUUGCAAUUUUGUUUUUAAAAGUAAAAAAACAUUGGCUGGAUGUGGUGGCUUAUGCUUGUAAUCCCAGAACUUUGGGAAUCUGAGGUAGGCAAAUCACUUGAGGCUUGAAGUUCGAGACCAGCCUGGCCAACAUGGUGAAACCCCGUCUCUACUAAAAAUACAAAAAUUAGCUGGGUGUGGUGGUAGGCACCUGUAAUCCAGGUAUGUGGGAGGCUGAGACACGAGGAUCACUUGAACCAAGGAGGUGGAGGUUGCAGUGAGCCGGGAUUGCAGUGAGCCACGGCACUCCACCCUGGGCAACAGAGCAAGACUCCAUGUCAAGGAAGAAAGGAAGGAAGGAAGGCGAGAGAGAGAGAGAGAAAGAAAGAGAGAGAUAAAGAAGAAAGAAAAGAGAAAGAGUAAAAGAAAGAGAAAGAAAGAGAAAGAAGAAAGAAAGAGAA